ACGCUCGACACCUACGGAAGGCAGCAGUGGGGAAUAUUGCACAAUGGGGGAAACCCUGAUGCAGCGACGCCGCGUGGAGGAAGAAGGUCUUCGGAUUGUAAACUCCUGUUGUUGGGGAAAAAGAGGAUGGUACCCAACAAGGAAGUGACGGCUAACUACGUGCCGCAGCCGCGGUAAGUCUGAGCGGGCGUGGCAAGGC
rnacentral:rRNA from 1 species